CCCUUAGAUGUUCUGGGCCGCACACGCGCUACACUGAAGGAGGCAGCGUGUACUCCUGGAUCGAAAGAUUUGGGUAACCCGCGAAUCUCCUUCGUGCUAGGGAUUGAGGUUUGCAAUUAUCCUUCAUGAACGAGGAAUUCCCAGUAAGUGCAAGUCAUAAGCUUGCGCUGACUACGUCCCUGCCCUUUGUACACACCGCCCGUCGCUACUACCGAUUGAAUGAUUUAGUGAGGACUUCGGACUGGGACCGAUGCGGCUUUCGGGCUGCGUCGGUAUUCUGGUAAGAUGUCCAAACUGUAUCAUUUAGAGGAAGUAAAAGUCGUAACA
rnacentral:rRNA from 1 species